GUGUCAUGGUGUGGACAUUUUCACAAUAACUCCUUAUGCCUCUCUCAUGCUUCAUACAAGGAUUCACUAUUGCUAUAAACAAAAGAUGAGAUAUCAUUUCUCAUCUU